rnacentral:rRNA from 1 species
AUUGAACGCUGGCGGCAGGCCUAACACAUGCAAGUCGAACGAGUGGCGGACGGGUGAGUAAUGUCUGGGAAACUGCCUGAUGGAGGGGGAUAACUACUGGAAACGGUAGCUAAUACCGCAUACCAUCGGAUGUGCCCAGAUGGGAUUAGCUAGUAGGUGGGGUAAAGGCUCACCUAGGCGAGGAUCCCUAGCUGGUAUGAGAGGAUGACCAGCCACACUGGAAGUGAUACACGGUCCAGACCCCUACGGGAGGCAGCAGGGGGGAAUUUUGCAAAAGGGGCGCAAGCCUGAGGCAGCCAUGUCGCGUGUAUGAAGGAGGCCUUCGGGUUGUAAAGUACUUUCAGCGGGGAGGCGUUACCCGCAGAAGAAGCACCGGCUAACUCCGGGCCAGCCGCCGCGUAAUAC